GUCGCUGGCUGUGGAUUCAGUAAAAGUUCUCCUCUUUGUAAUUCUGCCUCCAGUUAGCAUAAAAACUUGUCAUGCAGAGAGCAAAACAAGAUAAAAUGCAGGAUGAUGGAUCACCUAAUCAACGCGUUUUGCCCCUCUUAGUGGGCUUUUUCAAGGGAAAAAGCCCACUAAGCCCAUCAUCCUGCAUUUUAUCUUGUUUUGCUGUCAACACUCUGCAUGACAAGUUUUUAUGCUAACCGGAGGCAGAAUUACAAAGAGGAGAACUUUUACUGAAUCCACAGCCAGCCUUAGUGCAACGAGGCGAACGCUCCGGAAGGCAUCCUUGAAGCAGAG